rnacentral:rRNA from 1 species
GGUUAAGCGACUAAGCGUACACGGUGGAUGCCCUGGCAGUCAGAGGCGAUGAAGGACGUGCUAAUCUGCGAUAAGCGUCGGUAAGGUGAUAUGAACCGUUAUAACCGGCGAUUUCCGAAUGGGGAAACCCAGUGUGAUUCGUCACACUAUCAUUAACUGAAUCCAUAGGUUAAUGAGGCGAACCGGGGGAACUGAAACAUCUAAGUACCCCGAGGAAAAGAAAUCAACCGAGAUUCCCCCAGUAGCGGCGAGCGAACGGGGAGCAGCCCAGAGCCUGAAUCAGUGUGUGUGUUAGUGGAAGCGUCUGGAAAGGCGCGCGAUACAGGGUGACAGCCCCGUACACAAAAAUGCACAUGCUGUGAGCUCGAUGAGUAGGGCGGGACACGUGGUAUCCUGUCUGAAUAUGGGGGGACCAUCCUCCAAGGCUAAAUACUCCUGACUGACCGAUAGUGAACCAGUACCGUGAGGGAAAGGCGAAAAGAACCCCGGCGAGGGGAGUGAAAAAGAACCUGAAACCGUGUACGUACAAGCAGUGGGAGCACGCUUAGGCGUGUGACUGCGUACCUUUUGUAUAAUGGGUCAGCGACUUAUAUUCUGUAGCAAGGUUAACCGAAUAGGGGAGCCGAAGGGAAACCGAGUCUUAACUGGGCGUUAAGUUGCAGGGUAUAGACCCGAAACCCGGUGAUCUAGCCAUGGGCAGGUUGAAGGUUGGGUAACACUAACUGGAGGACCGAACCGACUAAUGUUGAAAAAUUAGCGGAUGACUUGUGGCUGGGGGUGAAAGGCCAAUCAAACCGGGAGAUAGCUGGUUCUCCCCGAAAGCUAUUUAGGUAGCGCCUCGUGAAUUCAUCUCCGGGGGUAGAGCACUGUUUCGGCAAGGGGGUCAUCCCGACUUACCAACCCGAUGCAAACUGCGAAUACCGGAGAAUGUUAUCACGGGAGACACACGGCGGGUGCUAACGUCCGUCGUGAAGAGGGAAACAACCCAGACCGCCAGCUAAGGUCCCAAAGUCAUGGUUAAGUGGGAAACGAUGUGGGAAGGCCCAGACAGCCAGGAUGUUGGCUUAGAAGCAGCCAUCAUUUAAAGAAAGCGUAAUAGCUCACUGGUCGAGUCGGCCUGCGCGGAAGAUGUAACGGGGCUAAACCAUGCACCGAAGCUGCGGCAGCGACGCUGAUGCGUUGUUGGGUAGGGGAGCGUUCUGUAAGCCUGUGAAGGUGUGCUGUGAGGCAUGCUGGAGGUAUCAGAAGUGCGAAUGCUGACAUAAGUAACGAUAAAGCGGGUGAAAAGCCCGCUCGCCGGAAGACCAAGGGUUCCUGUCCAACGUUAAUCGGGGCAGGGUGAGUCGACCCCUAAGGCGAGGCCGAAAGGCGUAGUCGAUGGGAAACAGGUUAAUAUUCCUGUACUUGGUGUUACUGCGAAGGGGGGACGGAGAAGGCUAUGUUGGCCGGGCGACGGUUGUCCCGGUUUAAGCGUGUAGGCUGGUUUUCCAGGCAAAUCCGGAAAAUCAAGGCUGAGGCGUGAUGACGAGGCACUACGGUGCUGAAGCAACAAAUGCCCUGCUUCCAGGAAAAGCCUCUAAGCAUCAGGUAACAUCAAAUCGUACCCCAAACCGACACAGGUGGUCAGGUAGAGAAUACCAAGGCGCUUGAGAGAACUCGGGUGAAGGAACUAGGCAAAAUGGUGCCGUAACUUCGGGAGAAGGCACGCUGAUAUGUAGGUGAAGUCCCUCGCGGAUGGAGCUGAAAUCAGUCGAAGAUACCAGCUGGCUGCAACUGUUUAUUAAAAACACAGCACUGUGCAAACACGAAAGUGGACGUAUACGGUGUGACGCCUGCCCGGUGCCGGAAGGUUAAUUGAUGGGGUCAGCGCAAGCGAAGCUCUUGAUCGAAGCCCCGGUAAACGGCGGCCGUAACUAUAACGGUCCUAAGGUAGCGAAAUUCCUUGUCGGGUAAGUUCCGACCUGCACGAAUGGCGUAAUGAUGGCCAGGCUGUCUCCACCCGAGACUCAGUGAAAUUGAACUCGCUGUGAAGAUGCAGUGUACCCGCGGCAAGACGGAAAGACCCCGUGAACCUUUACUAUAGCUUGACACUGAACAUUGAGCCUUGAUGUGUAGGAUAGGUGGGAGGCUUUGAAGUGUGGACGCCAGUCUGCAUGGAGCCGGCCUUGAAAUACCACCCUUUAAUGUUUGAUGUUCUAACGUUGACCCGUGAUCCGGGUUGCGGACAGUGUCUGGUGGGUAGUUUGACUGGGGCGGUCUCCUCCUAAAGAGUAACGGAGGAGCACGAAGGUUGGCUAAUCCUGGUCGGACAUCAGGAGGUUAGUGCAAUGGCAUAAGCCAGCUUGACUGCGAGCGUGACGGCGCGAGCAGGUGCGAAAGCAGGUCAUAGUGAUCCGGUGGUUCUGAAUGGAAGGGCCAUCGCUCAACGGAUAAAAGGUACUCCGGGGAUAACAGGCUGAUACCGCCCAAGAGUUCAUAUCGACGGCGGUGUUUGGCACCUCGAUGUCGGCUCAUCACAUCCUGGGGCUGAAGUAGGUCCCAAGGGUAUGGCUGUUCGCCAUUUAAAGUGGUACGCGAGCUGGGUUUAGAACGUCGUGAGACAGUUCGGUCCCUAUCUGCCGUGGGCGCUGGAGAACUGAGGGGGGCUGCUCCUAG